GAUGAACGCUGGCGGCGUGCCUAAUACAUGCAAGUCGAGCGAACAGACGAGGAGCUUGCUCCUCUGACGUUAGCGGCGGACGGGUGAGUAACACGUGGAUAACCUACCUAUAAGACUGGGAUAACUUCGGGAAACCGGAGCUAAUACCGGAUAAUAUAUUGAACCGCAUGGUUCAAUAGUGAAAGACGGUUUUGCUGUCACUUAUAGAUGGAUCCGCGCUGCAUUAGCUAGUUGGUAAGGUAACGGCUUACCAAGGCGACGAUGCGUAGCCGACCUGAGAGGGUGAUCGGCCACACUGGACCGGAGACACGGUCCAGACUCCUACGGGAGGCAGCGGUAGGGAAUCUUCGGCAAUGGGCGAAAGCCUGACGGGGCAACGCCGCGUGGGUGAUGAAGGUCUUCGGUUCGUAAAACUCUGUUAUUGGGGAAGAACAAAUGUGUAGGUAACGAUGAACGUUUGAACGGAACCUAAUCAGAAGGCAACGGCUAACUACGU
rnacentral:rRNA from 1 species